GCAAGUCGAGCGAACAGAUAAGGAGCUUGCUCCUUUGACGUUAGCGGCGGACGGGUGAGUAACACGUGGAUAACCUACCUAUAAGACUGGGAUAACUUCGGGAAACCGGAGCUAAUACCGGAUAACAUAUUGAACCGCAUGGUUCAAUAGUGAAAGGCGGCUUUGCUGUCACUUAUAGAUGGAUCCGCGCCGUAUUAGCUAGUUGGUAAGGUAACGGCUUACCAAGGCAACGAUACGUAGCCGACCUGAGAGGGUGAUCGGCCACACUGGAACUGAGACACGGUCCAGACUCCUACGGGAGGCAGCAGUAGGGAAUCUUCCGCAAUGGGCGAAAGCCUGACGGAGCAACGCCGCGUGAGUGAUGAAGGUCUUCGGAUCGUAAAACUCUGUUAUCAGGGAAGAACAAAUGUGUAAGUAACUGUGCACAUCUUGACGGUACC
rnacentral:rRNA from 1 species